GAUUUCUGGUUUGAUAUGUCUGGCCCGCCGCGGUUACGCGUGUGUGCGCCGGUGCGUGUCGGCCAUCCUUCUGGAAAACGUGUCUACCCUUUACUGGGCCGGAUACGCGAUCCAGAUCUUUUACUUUGAAAAAAUUAGAGUGUUUAAAGCAGGCUUUUGCUAUGAAUACAUUAGCAUGGAAUAAUAAUCUAGGACUUCGGUUCUAUUUUGUUGGUUUCUAUAACUGAAGUAAUGAUUGAUAGGGAUAGUUGGGGGUGCUAGUAUUGGCCGGCCAGAGGUGAAAUUCUUGGAUUCGGUCAAGACUAACUUAUGCGAAAGCAUU
rnacentral:rRNA from 1 species